UACGGGGGGGGCAAGCGUUGUUCGGAAUUACUGGGCGUAAAGGGCUCGUAGGCGGCCAACUAAGUCAGACGUGAAAUCCCUCGGCUUAACCGGGGAACUGCAUCUGAUACUGGAUGGCUUGAGGUUGGGAGAGGGAUGCGGAAUUCCAGGUGUAGCGGUGAAAUGCGUAGAUAUCUGGAGGAACACCGAUGGCGAAGGCAGCUCGCUGGGACGGUACCGACGCUGAGGCGCGAAAGCGUGGGGAGCGAACAGG
rnacentral:rRNA from 1 species